AGAUUGAACGCUGGCGGCAUGCCUUACACAUGCAAGUCGAACGGCAGCACGGGAGCAAUCCUGGUGGCGAGUGGCGAACGGGUGAGUAAUAUAUCGGAACGUGCCCAGUCGUGGGGGGAUAACGUAGAGAAAUUUACGCUAAUACCGCAUACGAUCCAAGGAUGAAAGCGGGGGACCGUAAGGCCUCGCGCGACUGGGAGCGGCUGAUAUCAGAUUAGCUUGUUGGUGAGGUAAAAGCUCACCAAGGCGACGAUCUGUAGCUGGUUUGAGAGAACGACCAGCCACACUGGGACUGAGACACGGCCCAGACUCCUACGGGAGGCAGCAGUGGGGAAUUUUGGACAAUGGGCGAAAGCCUGAUCCAGCAAUGCCGCGUGCAGGAAGAAGGCCUUCGGUUGUAAACUGCUUUGUACGGUAGACGGAAAAGUCGUAGCCCUAAGUACGGACGGACCCAUCGACGUACGUAAGAAUAAGACACCGCUAACUACGAGUCCAGCAGCCGUA
rnacentral:rRNA from 1 species